rnacentral:rRNA from 1 species
AGAUUGAACGCUGGCGGCAUGCUUUACACAUGCAAGUCGAACGGUAACAGGCCGCAAGGUGCUGACGAGUGGCGAACGGGUGAGUAAUGCAUCGGAACGUGCCCAGUCGUGGGGGAUAACGCAGCGAAAGCUGUGCUAAUACCGCAUACGAUCUAUGGAUGAAAGCGGGGGACCGAAAGCCUCGCGCGAUUGGAGCGGCCGAUGUCAGAUUAGCUAGUUGGUGGGGUAAAAGCUCACCAAGCCGACGAUCUGUAGCUGGUUUGAGAGAACGACCAGCCACACUGGGACUGAGACACGGCCCAGACUCCUACGGGAGCAGCAGUGGAGAUUUGGACAAUGGGACGAAAGCCUGA